rnacentral:rRNA from 1 species
AUUAUGGCUCAGGAUGAACGCUGGCGGUAUGCUUAACACAUGCAAGUCGAACGGGAAUCUUAGGAUUCUAGUGGCGGACGGGUGAGUAACGCGUGAGAAUUUGGCUUCAGGUCGGGGACAACAGUUGGAAACGACUGCUAAUACCGGAUAUGCCGGAAGGUGAAAGAUUUAUUGCCUGAAGAUAAGCUCGCGUCUGAUUAGCUAGUUGGUGGGGUAAGAGCCUACCAAGGCGACGAUCAGUAGCUGGUCUGAGAGGAUGAUCAGCCACACUGGGACUGAGACACGGCCCAGACUCCUACGGGAGGCAGCAGUGGGGAAUUUUCCGCAAUGGGCGAAAGCCUGACGGAGCAAUACCGCGUGAGGGAGGAAGGCUCUUGGGUCGUAAACCUCUUUUCUCAGGGAAGAAAAAAAUGACGGUACCUGAGGAAUAAGCAUCGGCUAACUCCGUGCCAGCAGCCGCGGUAAUACGGAGGAUGCAAGCGUUAUCCGGAAUGAUUGGGCGUAAAGGGUCUGUAGGUGGUGCUGUAAGUCUGCUGUUAAAGAGUCACGCUCAACGUGAUAAAAGCGGUGGAAACUACAGGACUAGAGUGCGGUCGGGGCAGAAGGAAUUCCUGGUGUAGCGGUGAAAUACGUAGAUAUCAGGAAGAACACCGGUGGCGAAAGCGUUCUGCUAGUCCGCAACUGACACUGAGGGACGAAAGCUAGGGGAGCGAAUGGGAUUAGAUACCCCAGUAGUCCUAGCCGUAAACGAUGGAUACUAGGCGUGGCUUGUAUCGACCCGAGCCGUGCCGGAGCUAACGCGUUAAGUAUCCCGCCUGGGGAGUACGCACGCAAGUGUGAAACUCAAAG